AGUCAUAAUGGCUAUUCUCUCUAAAUAGUGAUUGUGAUUAGCGAGGCGCUCGUGUUGCAGCACGGGCGUCUUGCGA
rnacentral:antisense_RNA from 1 species